rnacentral:rRNA from 1 species
AGUGAACGCUGGCGGUAGGCCUAACACAUGCAAGUCGAACGGCAGCACAGUAAGAGCUUGCUCUUACGGGUGGCGAGUGGCGGACGGGUGAGGAAUACAUCGGAAUCUACUUUUUCGUGGGGGAUAACGUAGGGAAACUUACGCUAAUACCGCAUACGACCUACGGGUGAAAGCAGGGGAUCUUCGGACCUUGCGCGAUUGAAUGAGCCGAUGUCGGAUUAGCUAGUUGGCGGGGUAAAGGCCCACCAAGGCGACGAUCCGUAGCUGGUCUGAGAGGGUGAUCGGCCACACUGGAACUGAGACACGGUCCAGACUCCUACGGGAGGCAGCAGUGGGGAAUAUUGGACAAUGGGCGCAAGCCUGAUCCAGCCAUACCGCGUGGGUGAAGAAGGCCUUCGGGUUGUAAAGCCCUUUUGUUGGGAAAGAAAAGCAGCAGGUUAAUACCCCGCUGUUCUGACGGUACCCAAAGAAUAAGCACCGGCUAACUUCGUG